rnacentral:rRNA from 1 species
AACGAACGCUGGCGGCAUGCCUAACACAUGCAAGUCGAACGAGACCUUCGGGUCUAGUGGCGCACGGGUGCGUAACGCGUGGGAAUCUGCCCCUCGGUUCGGAAUAACACAGAGAAAUUUGUGCUAAUACCGGAUAAUGACUUCGGUCCAAAGAUUUAUCGCCGAGGGAUGAGCCCGCGUAAGAUUAGCUUGUUGGUGGGGUAAAUGGCCUACCAAGGCGACGAUCUUUAGCUGGUCUGAGAGGAUGAUCAGCCACACUGGGACUGAGACACGGCCCAGACUCCUACGGGAGGCAGCAGUGGGGAAUAUUGGACAAUGGGCGAAAGCCUGAUCCAGCAAUGCCGCGUGAGUGAUGAAGGCCUUAGGGUUGUAAAGCUCUUUUACCAGGGAUGAUAAUGACAGUACCUGGAGAAUAAGCUCCGGCUAACUCCGUGCCAGCAGCCGCGGUAAUGUCUGUACU